rnacentral:rRNA from 1 species
UACAGAGGGGGCAAGCGUUGUUCGGAAUUACUGGGCGUAAAGUGCGCGUAGGCGGCCUGUUAAGUCGAACGUGAAAUCCCCGGGCUCAACCCGGGAACUGCGUCCGAUACUGGCAGGCUUGAAUUCGGGAGAGGGAUGCGGAAUUCCAGGUGUAGCGGUGAAAUGCGUAGAUAUCUGGAGGAACACCGGUGGCGAAGGCGGCAUCCUGGACCGAGAUUGACGCUGAGGCGCGAAAGCCAGGGGAGCAAACGGG